rnacentral:tRNA from 3 species
GGGCCUGUAGCUCAAUUGUGUAGAGCAGAGCGCUCAUAACGCUUUGGUUGGGGGUUCGAGUCCCUCCGGGCCCACCA